CAAACAACCACCUCUCUCUCUCUCUCUCUCUCUCUCUCUCUCUCUCUCUCUCUUUCCUCUAUAUGUCUACUUAUAUUUGAAGCAAAGUUGACUUAUAUUAUUAUAUUGGGAGAUCCAUAAGGGCAAAUAUGAGUAGGAGAAAUAGUGGUGGUGGUGGCGGUAGAGAGGCAAAGCUUGACUUGAAGUUGCAUCUUUCGCCACCAAGAGCUCAAAGGCCAAUGGUAGAAUCACCAAACCAGUCUCCUACAAGUUCUUGUCUGUCUUCCGAGCACAGCUUUGAUGAAACCAGCAUCCGGUACUCAUCGAGCCCAGACGCCACGUCUAUGAUGUUGGCAGGGUGUCCUCGGUGCCUUAUGUAUGUCAUGCUUGCUGAGAAGUACCACCCUAAGUGCCCUAAAUGCAAAAGCACGGUUCUACUGGAUGUUCUCCAGGGUGGUAAUGUCAAGACAACAAAAAAGAGUUAGAAUGAACAAGACAAAAGGGUUUAAAAAUCAGUAGGAAAUUAUGUUCUUUCUUUUAGUAGCUUGUCUUUUUUUUUUUUUUUACUUGUUUUUUUUAUAUUUUAUUGUAAUGGGGUACUUCAUGUUGAAAGUUUAGGUUGGACUCCAAACAACAUUAUCCACUUUAACCUUCUAGUUUUUAUAUAGUUUAGUCGUUAUUAUGAGCUUAGUUAGCUCACUA